AAGUCUAGCCUGCCCACUGAUAAAUUAAAUGGCCGCAGUAUUUUGACUGUGCAAAGGUAGCAUAAUCAUUAGUUUUUUAAUUAAAAACUGGAAUGAAAGGUUGGACGAAAAAAUAACUGUCUCUUUAUAAAUUAGUUAUAAUUUUAUUUUUAAGUUAAAAAGCUUAAAUUUAUUUAAAAGACGAGAAGACCCUAUAGAGUUUUAUAUGAUUUUUUUUUAAUAGUUAUAAUUUAAUUUUAAAAAUUUUAAAUAUUUUCAUAUUUAGUUGGGGUGAUUAAAAAACUUGAUAAACUUUUUUAAAAAAAAUAUCAUUGAUUUAUGAUUUUUUGAUCCAUUAAUUAUGAUUAUAAGAUUAAAUUACCUUAGGGAUAACAGCGUAAUUUUUUUUGAGAGUUCUAAUCGAUAAAAAAGUUUGCGACCUCGAUGUUGGAUUAAAAUUUAUUGUUGGUGUAGAAGCUAAUAUAUUAGGUCUGUUCGACCUUUAAAAUUUUACAUGAUCUGAGUUUAAACCGGUGUGAGCCAGGUUGGUUUCUAUCUUUAAUUAUUUUUUAUAUUUUAGUACGAAAGGACCAGAUAUUAGUAAAAUUUAU
rnacentral:rRNA from 1 species